AGAGAUGCCUGCUCUGUCUCUCUCUACGUCCCUCACUGGUUCAAUGGAGCCUGCUCCACAAAAGUCACACUGGUGUGUCAGGCUGAGGGACCCUAGUUCUUACCGAAGUGUAAGAUAGGUUAUGGAGUUCCUGUGAAGGACCCUAAGGGCUUUUCGCCAGCUUUACACCCACCACCUCGGGUCAAGAUUAGGCCAAGUACCAUUCUCCACCCACAGUUCUCGGGAGGAGCAGGGACAUUCUUGAAAAACCACAGAAUGUACUGACCGAUAGUCACCUGACCCUCUGGUCCCAGAUAGAGUUCAAAUGUAUGUCAUGUGCUUGCUAGCCUAUAGAUUCAAAGGUCAAUGUGCUUAGCCAAUCAGUUUAAACUGUAACCUUGCUGAUGCAACCUGUACCCCUAAAAAGUAUAAGAGCUGCUUGUUAUAGCCACUUGGGGUCACCUUCUAGUCACUAGCCACAAAGGACUGAUUGAAAGUCGACUCUGACACGUCGGAAAAUAAACCUCUUGUGUUUGCAUCGAACUCCGUUCUCGUGUCUCACUUGGGGGAGUCUCCUGGUAGUUAAGACUUACUUCCAGUCUUACAAGGAAGCCUCCCUAUGCCCUCCUGGGUGCCCAUCGCGUUGAAAAGGAAGUCUCUUCACUGUGAUUUGGGGCAUCUCCCCGACAAGCCUUUCACCCUUUGGGGACAUCCUGGGUUACACUGUGCCCCACAUCAUACCCCUUCUCUUCCCAGGGCUCCAUCUAGGCUUUUUACCCCUACUUCAAAUGAAUCAUGGGCUUUUCCCAUUCAAAAUUAGACUUAUAGUCUUCUCCCACCUGCCUUCUUAAAUAUUUUGCCCUCCUCAAACUCCAAUAACAUUGAGUCUCACUGUCUGGUUUCUCACUGUAUUAUGGCUUGGCCUUGGUAUAAGCUUGAUAUUCAGUCUUAAUGGCCAAGAAAUGGGACAUUGAUUUCCCAAUCUUCACAUACUGUGACAACUUCUACCACAGCACAAGCAAACGAACUAAAAAUCUCUUAUCUCUAAGCUCUGCUCACUCUCCUCUCCUAAAACUCCCUUAUGACUAAGCUUUCUUUACUGUCUUGUCCCCCCACUCAGAUUUCUGGGUUCAGUCUUACAGAGAUCCAAAUGUCUUUGGGGACUUAGUAAUGUUGGGGAAAUGGUCAUGUGAGGUUUUACUCUACUAAAAAGCUGGCCCUGGAAAUGGGAUUUGGCCUGCCUACAUGACCCAAGCAUGUUUGGCUAAAGCAGUGGUUCUCAGCCUUACUAAUGCUGUGACCCUUUAAUACAGUUCCUCAUGUUGUGGUGACCCACAACCAUAAAAUUAUUUUUGUUGUUACUUCAUAACUGUAAUUUUGUUCCUGUUAUGAAUCACAAUGGAAAUAUUUUUGGAGAUAGGGGUUUGUCAAAGGGGUUACAAGAACCACUGGUCUAAAGGUUUUAUCCAAAACCUCUGUUUUGAGUCAGGCUGGCCACCUGAGUCUGUGAUAGGGAGAAAGAGAACAAAACCGAAUUGCCCAGGAAAAGACACUGUGCUUAAGAACAGCUAAGAGGCCAUCUCUCCAGAGCUAAGCAAAAUGAAUGUGAAAUUUGAUGACAGACUGAGGAUCAUUGCAGUCCCCAAAGAAGACACAUGAAUGGCCAAAGAUUUGCAUUUCGUCAUUAAGUCUCAGAAGCAGCUUUGCGAAGUCGGCAGCAGGAAGGGAAGGAGAUGUUCUGGAUGGUUCUGUCUCCAAAGGCCCACCAAGGAACAGAAAACAAGGUCUAUCCUAUGUAAGAGAGGGAGCCAGGAUGAGAACCUGCUUCAGCUGGUGUCCUUAGAGGAUCACACCUACAGGGAAAAUGUCCUGUCCCACAGUUACCUGGCAACAGCCAGGUGUGCCUGACUCACUAUAAAAGGGGCUGCAUGUCCCCUCCUCUCUCUUGCUCUCUUCUCUUUUCUUUUGGGCCCAGCCUCCACGCCUGUGGGAUGAGUUGCUCCGCUAGCUUGUUGCCCAAAGCUGUAGCACACAAUGUAGCAGCUGUGGUUAAAAUGGCCGAAUAAUAAAGUCCUGAGUCAUUUCUA